rnacentral:rRNA from 1 species
CCUACGGGUGGCAGCAGUAGGGAAUAUUGCUCAAUGGAGGCAACUCUGAACCAGCCAAGCCGCGUGCAGGAUGACGGCCCUCGGAUUGUUAACUCCUUUUGUUAGAGAAGAUAAUUGCGGUACCUAACGAAUAUGCCCCGUCUCACUUCGUUCCAGCCGCCGCGGUAAGACGGAGGGUGCAAGCGUUACUCGGAAUCACUGGGCGUAAAGAGCGCGUAGGCGGGAUAGCAAGUCAGAUGUGAAAUCCUAUGGCUUAACCAUAGAACUGCAUUUGGAACUGUUAUGCUAGAGUAUGCGAGAGGUAGGUGGAAUUCUUGGUGUAGGGGUAAAAUGCGUAGAGAUCAAGAGGAAUACUCAUUGCGAAGGCGACCUGCUAGAACAUAACUGACGCUGAGGCGCGAAAGCGUGGGGAGCAAACAGGAUUAGAUACCCCAGUAGUC